GCGGGUGUAGUUCAAUGGUAGAACCCCAGCCUUCCAAGCUGGUGACGUGAGUUCGAAUCUCAUCACCCGCU
rnacentral:tRNA from 1 species